CUACGGGACGCUGCAGUGAGGAAUAUUGGUCAAUGGACGCAAGUCUGAACCAGCCAUGCCGCGUGCAGGAUGACGGCCCUAUGGGUUGUAAACUGCUUUUGUAUGGGAAGAAACCCGCAUACGUGUAUGCGAUUGCCGGUACCAUACGAAUAAGCAUCGGCUAACUCCGUGCCAGCAGCCGCGGUAAUACGGAGGAUGCAAGCGUUAUCCGGAUUUAUUGGGUUUAAAGGGUGCGCAGGCGGGUUUGUAAGUCAGUGGUGAAAUCUUACGGUUUAACCGUGAAACUGCCAUUGAUACUGCAGAUCUAGAGUUCACUUGACGUGGGCGGAAUGUAGCAUGUAGCGGUGAAAUGCUUAGAUAUGCUACAGAACACCGAUUGCGAAGGCAGCUCACGAAACUGAAACUGACGCUGAGGCACGAAAGCGUGGGGAGCGAACAGGAUUAGAUACCCCUGUAGUC
rnacentral:rRNA from 1 species